CCCCGUGCCCCGCCCCCCCCCCCCCCCCCCCCCCCCCCUCGAGCUGCAGCUUGAUGGCGUCUGUGCCGGCCACCGUUCAGAGAGGAACCUCCCGCCUGCUCCACCGGCGAGACCCUGCCAAAGCUCCCCAAGUUUCCUCUGCUUCCCGUCGCCACCGCCCAUCGCCGUUUCCCACCAAAGCUCCCGCAGCAGCCCCUCUCCACUGCGUGAAGGGACAUCAGUAGCACGUCUCGAACCCCUGGUCGGCGGCACUCGAUCUUGGAUGAAUCGUUAGCGAGCCACCCGCUGCCUCAAGCUUAGGUGCAGCCUUUUCCUACGGAGGCAUCUCUAUGGCAAUGCUUUUCGUGAACAAAGAGUUCUUGAUGGUACAGCAAAUAGCCACAUCGCUUCUGAAGUUCUGAUACAUUUUGGUCAAGUUCUAUGAAUGUCAAACGAAAAGACUCCAGCUUGAUAACAAGCGAGGAGAAGAAUGUGGAAGGCCACCAGGGAGGUUGCCAAUUGAAAGGAUAUAGGAUCUGCAAAGGUGUGACUAGUUUAAUAUUACAUGUUAUUUUAUUUCAGUUCAUUAGCUCCUGAGGACCUGAACACAUAUCACAAAUCCGCUGAAGAGGAAUCGUAGGAAUGCUUCUGGACAGUUGCAGCAGGUAUCUCUACUAUCUGAAUUGUGUAUACUACCAUAGCAGUAGGCCUGUAGCAGGCGAUCGCGCAUUCUAGAGCCGGGAAGAGUUGCCUGCUUGCCAUAAUGUUUUUUUUUUACUUUAAUCUGUAGUUAGUACCAUUGAAUACUAGAUCAUAUGGCUUAUUUUGUACUUCUGUUAAGGACACUAUAUUUCUGAACAUUAGAUGGCUUAUCACCCCACUCAAUCUUUGCCAAUAAAGUAUCCUUUGAGCUGAACUUUUGUCAUAUGCUCCAUCACACAUGGGAAUAUUUGUGACAACUUUAUUACGAAUCACUCCAUGUUAGAAGGUAGCUAGAUUUUUGCAUCUAUGCAUGUCAUUAUUUUUUAUGAAGUAACAAACUCUAAGAUAAGUUGCAUGUAAACCUUAGUUAAAGUACGAAAGUAUGCCAAAUGGAGCUCAGUCUCCCAUUCAAUCAAGCUAGCGCUCUAAGAAAGUUCUUUUUUGAGUGCUUGUGAUUUCAUCCUUUCCGAGUGAGUCUUCGGCCCUAAAGCUUUCGUAAGCCAAGGCGAGAGAUUUCCUACUUUGACCACUGUUGUGACCGCUUUAUGCAAGUCCACUUAGGCAAGCCGGGUGAGGAAUCUCCUCCUGUUUCGAGUAGUGAACGCACCAAGAAAAGCCUUUUAAGCUCAUUUUCAAAACUGGGUCAAGCGGCACAUUAAAAAGGGCUGGCCCUAGAAUCUGAGGAAAAGAAGAAAUGUCCUUUUUUUCACAUGUGACAUUAUCUGUGAAAUGUUCUCUUGUUAUAGUGUGUCUAUUGCAGGUGCAAUGACUAAGAUGAGGUCGCAAGAAAACUUCAAUAGUGGAUACACGAGCAUAGAUUACAGCGAGCUCAGUAUGAUAUGUCCCUGAUCCACGAGGAUAAACUACACUGUAUCAUUUAGGUGUACACAUUUAGCAUUUUGUUUUCCUGAAACUAAGUCUACAAAUGGCGAUGUGUACGGGCCAGAAGCUUGCUGAAAUGGUUGUACGGGUCAGAAUCUAGCUGAAAUGACAAGAUGGGCCUUGAGACAGAUACAGAUAGAGAAUAAAUUAGAUUUAUCGUUCAAUUUGUAUUUCUUGGCUCACCUGGCUGCUCAUUUCAUAAAUCUAUUUGCAAAA